rnacentral:rRNA from 1 species
AUGCUACUGCAUGAGGUACACCUUGAAGAGCUCGCCGAGGAUGACAUCAUAUGAAAGCACACGGAAUCUGGGCACUACUCCGCGGCCUCUGCUUACAGGGCACAAUUUUUGGGCUUGGUCCUCUCCCCCAUGGACCAAAUGGUUUGGAAGACUUGGGCCCCAUCAAAAGUCAAGUUCUUUACUUGGCUCACGCUUCAGGAUAGGAUCUGGACUGCUGACAGAUUGAAAAAGCGAGGAUGGCCUAACUGUGGCUCUUGCCCCUUGUGCCGACGGGUGCAGGAAUGUGUCCCUCAUCUUUUCUUCAGAUGCCGCAUAUCAGUCUUUGGAACCUAG